rnacentral:rRNA from 1 species
GUAAGGAAUUUUCCGCAAUGGGCGAAAGCCUGACGGAGCAAUGCCGCGUGAAGGAUGAAGGCCUAUGGGUUGUAAACUUCUUUUCUCAGAAAAGAAUUAUGACGGUAUCUGAGGAAUAAGCAUCGGCUAACUCUGUGCCAGCAGCCGCGGUAAGACAGAGGAUGCAAGCGUUAUCCGGAAUGAUUGGGCGUAAAGCGUCUGUAGGUUGUUUAAAAAGUAUUCUGUCAAAGAUUAGGGCUUAACCCUAGAUAGGCAGAAUAAACUUUUAAGCUAGAGUUUGGUAGAGGCAGAGGGAAUUCCCGGUGGAGCGGUGAAAUGCGUAGAUAUCGGGAGGAACACCAAAGGCGAAGGCACUCUGCUAGGCCAAUACUAACACUGAGAGACGAAAGCGAGGGGAGCAAAUGGGAUUAGAAACCCCGGUAGUCC